rnacentral:siRNA from 1 species
UAAACUGAUCAUUGCCUUUAAGGA